rnacentral:rRNA from 1 species
ACUUUAAUUAUAAAUUUAUAUACCGCCAUCUAAAAAAUUAAUUNNANAAUAAUAUUUUUAAUAAAAAAUAAAAAGUUAGGUCAAGGUGUAAUCUACAUUAAAGUAAAUAAUGGGUUACAUUAAAAAUAAUUUAAGGACUAUUAUAUUAAAAUAUUUUAUAAAAAAGGAUUUAAAAGUAAUAANNAUAAUANUUUUUUGUUUAAUAAAUUCCCUCCCGCCCU